rnacentral:rRNA from 1 species
UACGUAGGGUGCGAGCGUUGUCCGGAAUUAUUGGGCGUAAAGAGCUCGUAGGCGGCUUGUCGCGUCGUUCGUGAAAACCCACAGCUCAACUGUGGGCUUGCGGUCGAUACGGGCAGGCUAGAGUUCGGUAGGGGAGACUGGAAUUCCUGGUGUAGCGGUGAAAUGCGCAGAUAUCAGGAGGAACACCGGUGGCGAAGGCGGGUCUCUGGGCCGAUACUGACGCUGAGGCACGAAAGCGUGGGGAGCAAACAGG